AAUGAUACCCUGGUAGUCCACGCCGUAAACGAUGAGUGCUAAGUGUUAGGGGGUUUCCGCCCCUUAGUGCUGCAGCUAACGCAUUAAGCACUCCGCCUGGGGAGUACGGUCGCAAGACUGAAACUCAAAGGAAUUGACGGGGGCCCGCACAAGCGGUGGAGCAUGUGGUUUAAUUCGAAGCAACGCGAAGAACCUUACCAGGUCUUGACAUCCCACUGACCGCUAUGGAGACAUAGUUUUCCCUUCGGGGACAGUGGUGACAGGUGGUGCAUGGUUGUCGUCAGCUCGUGUCGUGAGAUGUUGGGUUAAGUCCCGCAACGAGCGCAACCCUUGAUCUUAGUUGCCAUCAUUUAGUUGGGCACUCUAAGGUGACUGCCGGUGACAAACCGGAGGAAGGUGGGGAUGACGUCAAAUCAUCAUGCCCCUUAUGACCUGGGCUACACACGUGCUACAAUGGACGGUACAAACGGUUGCCAACCCGCGAGGGGAGCUAAUCCGAUAAAACCGUUCUCAGUUCGGAUUGUAGGCUGCAACUCGCCUAC
rnacentral:rRNA from 1 species